rnacentral:rRNA from 1 species
AGCGAACGUUAGCGGCACGCCUAACACAUGCAAGUCGCACGAGAAAGGGAGCAAUCCUGAGUAGAGUGGCGCACGGGUGCGUAACACGUAGAUAACCUGCCCUUUGGAGGGGGAUAACGUUCCGAAAGGAGCGCUAAUACCGCAUACAGCAAGAGUCGGUUCGCCGAUUUUUGGCAAAGGUAGGGACCCGCAAGGGCCUACCGCCAGAGGAGGGGUCUGCGGCCCAUCAGCUAGUUGGGAGGUAAUGGCUCACCAAGGCAGAGACGGGUAGCUGGUCUGAGAGGAUGAUCAGCCACACUGGUACUGGAACACGGACCAGACUCCUACGGGAGGCAGCAGUGGGGAAUCUUGGUCAAUGGGCGCAAGCCUGAACCAGCGAUGCCGCGUGAGUGAUGAAGGCC